CCAGUCAGUAUGUGGGAAGCACUGAGGACAUGAUGAGAGUUUGAGAUUGUGGAUAUCACAAUAAUUCAGAUAUUUGACAGAGAAUUUCCAUGAGUUAGUAUUCUGUUUUGCCAGGUUACUUGCUAAGGGUGACAUACUCAACACCCAAAAGGUGCUGGGCUCUAAACAGCUGCAGAAUCCACAAUUAACAGAUCUCCUUGCCACUGCAGUGUAAUCUUGGAGAACUGAAGGUACUCCCGGAUACCUGGACAGUCAGAUUCCCUCCAAAAGGAAUGCUGUCACCAAAUUCUGCCUAAGAAAGGAAAAGGAUAACGCUAAUACGCUGGGACAAGUGUUUCGAAAGUGAACAACAUGGCAAACAAAGGAUCCUACGAUCUCCAGAAGGCCAGAAAGGAUCCUUAUUCUCCCAGAGCCAUUAGAGGGUACUUCAGUGAAGAAGAGACAGAUGACUUGGACAGAACUUUGGAAGUGGCAAGUUUUGAGGAUGUUGACUUUGACCCUACAGAGAAUAGAUGGAAUGAUGAUGAUGAUGAUAGUAAUUCCGAUUGUGAGUAGACCAUA